AUGAACGCCAGCUACAGGCUUAACACAUGCAAGUUCGAGGGGCAGCAUGGUCUUAGCUUCGCUAAGGCCGAAGGCGACCGGCGCACGGGUGAGUAACACGUAUCCAACCUGCCGUCUACUCUUGGACAGCCUUCUGAAAGGAAGAUUAAUACAAGAUGGCAUCAUGAGUCCGCAUGUUCACAUGAUUAAAGGUAUUCCGGUAGACGAUGGGGAUGCGUUCCAUUAGAUAGUAGGCGGGGUAACGGCCCACCUAGUCUUCGAUGGAUAGGGGUUCUGAGAGGAAGGUCCCCCACAUUGGAACUGAGACACGGUCCAAACUCCUACGGGAGGCAGCAGUGAGGAAUAUUGGUCAAUGGGCGAGAGCCUGAACCAGCCAAGUAGCGUGAAGGAUGACUGCCCUAUGGGUUGUAAACUUCUUUUAUAAAGGAAUAAAGUCGGGUAUGGAUACCCGUUUGCAUGUACUUUAUGAAUAAGGAUCGGCUAACUCCGUGCCAGCAGCCGCGGUAAUACGGAGGAUCCGAGCGUUAUCCGGAUUUAUUGGGUUUAAAGGGAGCGUAGAUGGAUGUUUAAGUCAGUUGUGAAAGUUUGCGGCUCAACCGUAAAAUUGCAGUUGAUACUGGAUAUCUUGAGUGCAGUUGAGGCAGGCGGAAUUCGUGGUGUAGCGGUGAAAUGCUUAGAUAUCACGAAGAACUCCGAUUGCGAAGGCAGCCUGCUAAGCUGCAACUGACAUUGAGGCUCGAAAGUGUGGGUAUCAAACAGGAUUAGAUACCCUGGUAGUCCACACGGUAAACGAUGAAUACCCGCUGUUUGCGAUAUACUGCAAGCGGCCAAGCGAAAGCGUUAAGUAUUCCACCUGGGGAGUACGCCGGCAACGGUGAAACUCAAAGGAAUUGACGGGGGCCCGCACAAGCGGAGGAACAUGUGGUUUAAUUCGAUGAUACGCGAGGAACCUUACCCGGGCUUAAAUUGCAGAUGAAUUACGGUGAAAGCCGUAAGCCGCAAGGCAUCUGUGAAGGUGCUGCAUGGUUGUCGUCAGCUCGUGCCGUGAGGUGUCGGCUUAAGUGCCAUAACGAGCGCAACCCUUGUUGUCAGUUACUAACAGGUUCCGCUGAGGACUCUGACAAGACUGCCAUCGUAAGAUGUGAGGAAGGUGGGGAUGACGUCAAAUCAGCACGGCCCUUACGUCCGGGGCUACACACGUGUUACAAUGGGGGGUACAGAGGGCCGCUACCACGCGAGUGGAUGCCAAUCCCCAAAACCUCUCUCAGUUCGGACUGGAGUCUGCAACCCGACUCCACGAAGCUGGAUUCGCUAGUAAUCGCGCAUCAGCCACGGCGCGGUGAAUACGUUCCCGGGCCU
rnacentral:rRNA from 1 species